rnacentral:rRNA from 2 species
AGAGUUUGAUCAUGGCUCAGAUUGAACGCUGGCGGCAGGCCUAACACAUGCAAGUCGAGCGGUAGCACAGAGAGCUUGCUCUCGGGUGACGAGCGGCGGACGGGUGAGUAAUGUCUGGGAAACUGCCUGAUGGAGGGGGAUAACUACUGGAAACGGUAGCUAAUACCGCAUAACGUCGCAAGACCAAAGUGGGGGACCUUCGGGCCUCAUGCCAUCAGAUGUGCCCAGAUGGGAUUAGCUAGUAGGUGGGGUAACGGCUCACCUAGGCGACGAUCCCUAGCUGGUCUGAGAGGAUGACCAGCCACACUGGAACUGAGACACGGUCCAGACUCCUACGGGAGGCAGCAGUGGGGAAUAUUGCACAAUGGGCGCAAGCCUGAUGCAGCCAUGCCGCGUGUGUGAAGAAGGCCUUCGGGUUGUAAAGCACUUUCAGCGGGGAGGAAGGCGGUGAGGUUAAUAACCUUGUCGAUUGACGUUACCCGCAGAAGAAGCACCGGCUAACUCCGUGCCAGCAGCCGCGGUAAUACGGAGGGUGCAAGCGUUAAUCGGAAUUACUGGGCGUAAAGCGCACGCAGGCGGUCUGUCAAGUCGGAUGUGAAAUCCCCGGGCUCAACCUGGGAACUGCAUUCGAAACUGGCAGGCUAGAGUCUUGUAGAGGGGGGUAGAAUUCCAGGUGUAGCGGUGAAAUGCGUAGAGAUCUGGAGGAAUACCGGUGGCGAAGGCGGCCCCCUGGACAAAGACUGACGCUCAGGUGCGAAAGCGUGGGGAGCAAACAGGAUUAGAUACCCUGGUAGUCCACGCUGUAAACGAUGUCGAUUUGGAGGUUGUGCCCUUGAGGCGUGGCUUCCGGAGCUAACGCGUUAAAUCGACCGCCUGGGGAGUACGGCCGCAAGGUUAAAACUCAAAUGAAUUGACGGGGGCCCGCACAAGCGGUGGAGCAUGUGGUUUAAUUCGAUGCAACGCGAAGAACCUUACCUGGUCUUGACAUCCACAGAACUUUCCAGAGAUGGAUUGGUGCCUUCGGGAACUGUGAGACAGGUGCUGCAUGGCUGUCGUCAGCUCGUGUUGUGAAAUGUUGGGUUAAGUCCCGCAACGAGCGCAACCCU